UACGGAGGGUGCGAGCGUUAAUCGGAAUUACUGGGCGUAAAGCGUGCGCAGGCGGUUAUGUAAGACAGUUGUGAAAUCCCCGGGCUCAACCUGGGAAUUGCAUCUGUGACUGCAUAGCUAGAGUACGGUAGAGGGGGAUGGAAUUCCGCGUGUAGCAGUGAAAUGCGUAGAUAUGCGGAGGAACACCGAUGGCGAAGGCAAUCCCCUGGACCUGUACUGACGCUCAUGCACGAAAGCGUGGGGAGCAAACAGG
rnacentral:rRNA from 1 species